rnacentral:ncRNA from 1 species
CAUUAGUGGCAACAUUGUCAAAUUGCGGGAACGCCCUUAGAGCCUUAACUACGGCGGCUCAUCGAAAGAUAGAGUGCAGCAGCAGGGUAAUGACCUCGCGGAUCGUAAAAACGUUAAGGAUUGGGUUAUCUGCAGCCAAGCGCUUUAAAAUGCGUGCUGUUCACAGGCCAAAUGACAGUGGGCUUAUUCGUAAGCUUAAGAUAUGGUCGGUCCCCUUUCGAAAGCGAGGGGGUAAGUUAUCUGCUAAACUAAACGUUCCGUAGGUGAACCUGCGGAAGGAUCAUUA